UACGUAGGGGCAAGCGUUGUCCGGAUUUAUUGGGCGUAAAGAGCGUGUAGGCGGCUUGGUAGGUCUCGCGUCAAAACCUGAGGCUCAACCUCAGUUCGCGUGGGAAACCACCUAGCUAGAGUCCGGAAGAGGAGAACGGAAUUCCCAGUGUAGCGGUGAAAUGACGCAGAUAUUGGGAAGAACACCAGUGGCGAAGGCGGUUCUCUGGGACGGUACUGACGCUGAGACGCGAAAGCGUGGGGAGCGAACAGG
rnacentral:rRNA from 1 species